UACGGGAGGCAGCAGUGGGGAAUAUUGGACAAUGGGCGCAAGCCUGAUCCAGCCAUGCCGCGUGUGUGAAGAAGGCCUUUUGGUUGUAAAGCACUUUAAGCGAGGAGGAGGCUCUCUUAGUUAAUACCUAAGAUGAGUGGACGUUACUCGCAGAAUAAGCACCGGCUAACUCUGUGCCAGCAGCCGCGGUAAUACAGAGGGUGCGAGCGUUAAUCGGAUUUUACUGGGCGUAAAGCGUGCGUAGGCGGCUUUUUUAAGUCGGAUGUGAAAUCCCCGAGCUUAACUUGGGAAUUGCAUUCGAUACUGGGAAGCUAGAGUAUGGGAGAGGAUGGUAGAAUUCCAGGUGUAGCGGUGAAAUGCGUAGAGAUCUGGAGGAAUCCGAUGGCGAAGGCAGCCAUCUGGGCCUAAUACUGACGCUGAGGUCGAAAGCAUGGGGA
rnacentral:rRNA from 1 species